rnacentral:lncRNA from 12 species
ACAUUUUGUGUGUUGUUUGCCCAUGUUCAUAUCUCUAAAAUAUCGUCUCAUGGUUCUUUGCUCAGUGAUCCUUGCAAAUUGCUGGUGUGUGGGAAAUCCUGUGAAGAAGGAUAUGCCAGGCCCUCUGUUGGAGAUUUUUAUUUGGAAGAUCUUCAUAAAAGCCCCAGUCUUAAUUAGGAUAUGGAUCUAUAAUAUUCCUCUCUACUCUUUAAGCAGCUGAGAGAAAUCGGUAAGGCAAGCGUCAGCCUUUCAAACUGGAUCCUAUAGACCAUUUGCAUGAGAAUCCCUUGUAUAAGUGAUGAAAUGCAGAUUUCUGGACCACUCCAGAAAAUUAAGCUAAGCUUAACCUAUCUGGGCAUGGGGUCUCAGAAUCUCUAAAAUUUCUCCUUUCUUUUACACACUAAAAUCUGAGUAUAACAGGGCACAGGAAGUCAUUACAGUAAGCCUCCUAAUAAAAAAGUAGAAUAUGAGAAAAGUCUUGAAAAU